UACGUAGGGUGCGAGCGUUGUCCGGAAUUACUGGGCGUAAAGAGCUCGUAGGUGGUUUGUCGCGUCGUCUGUGAAAUUCCGGGGCUUAACUUCGGGCGUGCAGGCGAUACGGGCAAUACUUGAGUGCUGUAGGGGAGACUGGAAUUCCUGGUGUAGCGGUGGAAUGCGCAGAUAUCAGGAGGAAUACCGAUGGCGAAGGCAGGUCUCUGGGCAGUAACUGACGCUGAGGAGCGAAAGCAUGGGUAGCGAACAGGAUUAGA
rnacentral:rRNA from 1 species